UCGAGUCGGCCUGCGCGGAAGAUGUAACGGGGCUAAACCAUGCACCGAAGCUGCGGCAGCGACACUGUGUGUUGUUGGGUAGGGGAGCGUUCUGUAAGCCUGUGAAGGUGUGUCGUGAGGCAUGCUGGAGGUAUCAGAAGUGCGAAUGCUGACAUAAGUAACGAUAAAGCGGGUGAAAAGCCCGCUCGCCGGAAGACCAAGGGUUCCUGUCCAACGUUAAUCGGGGCAGGGUGAGUCGACCCCUAAGGCGAGGCCGAAAGGCGUAGUCGAUGGGAAACGGGUUAAUAUUCCCGUACUUGGUGUUACUGCGAAGGGGGGACGGAGAAGGCUAUGUUGGCCGGGCGACGGUUGUCCCGGUUUAAGCGUGUAGGUGUGUGUUCCAGGUAAAUCCGGUUCACUUUAACACUGAGGCGUGACGACGAGGCACUACGGUGCUGAAGCAACAAAUGCCCUGCUUCCAGGAAAAGCCUCUAAGCAUCAGGUAACAUCAAAUCGUACCCCAAACCGACACAGGUGGUCAGGUAGAGAAUACCAAGGCGCUUGAGAGAACUCGGGUGAAGGAACUAGGCAAAAUGGUGCCGUAACUUCGGGAGAAGGCACGCUGACACGUAGGUGAAGUGAUUUACUCAUGGAGCUGAAGUCAGUCGAAGAUACCAGCUGGCUGCAACUGUUUAUUAAAAACACAGCACUGUGCAAACACGAAAGUGGACGUAUACGGUGUGACGCCUGCCCGGUGCCGGAAGGUUAAUUGAUGGGGUCAGCGCAAGCGAAGCUCCUGAUCGAAGCCCCGGUAAACGGCGGCCGUAACUAUAACGGUCCUAAGGUAGCGAAAUUCCUUGUCGGGUAAGUUCCGACCUGCACGAAUGGCGUAAUGAUGGCCAGGCUGUCUCCACCCGAGACUCAGUGAAAUUGAACUCGCUGUGAAGAUGCAGUGUACCCGCGGCAAGACGGAAAGACCCCGUGAACCUUUACUAUAGCUUGACACUGAACAUUGAGCCUUGAUGUGUAGGAUAGGUGGGAGGCUUUGAAGUGUGGACGCCAGUCUGCAUGGAGCCGACCUUGAAAUACCACCCUUUAAUGUUUGAUGUUCUAACGUGGACCCGUUACCCGGGUUGCGGACAGUGUCUGGUGGGUAGUUUGACUGGGGCGGUCUCCUCC
rnacentral:rRNA from 1 species